rnacentral:rRNA from 1 species
CCUACGGGUGGCAGCAGUGAGGAAUAUUGGUCAAUGGACGAGAGUCUGAACCAGCCAAGUAGCGUGAAGGAUGACUUCCCUAUGGGUUGUAAACUUCUUUUAUAUGGGAUUAAAAUGUUCCACGUGUGUGUUUUUGUAUUUACCAUAUGAAUAAUGAUCGGCUAACUCCGUACCAGCAUCCGCGGUAAUACGGAGGAUCCGAGCGUUAUCCGGAUUUAUUGGGUUUAAAGGGAGCGUAGGUGGAUUGUUAAGUCAGUUGUGAAAGUUUGCGGCUCAACCGUAAAAUUGCAGUUGAUACUGGCAGUCUUGAGUACAGUAGAGGUGGGCGGAAUGCGUGGUGUAGCGGUGAAAUGCUUAGAUAUCACGAAGAACUCCGAUUGCGAAGGCAGCUCACUGGACUGCAACUGACACUGAGGCUCGAAAGUGUGGGUAUCAAACAGGAUUAGAUACCCUUGUAGUC